GCCCCAGGUGCUUCAGAGGAUGUAAGCGGCGUGCAUCCUUCUUUCUCUACUAUACUUACUUAAAUUGAAAGAAUAUAUUUUCGAACAGGCAAUUUUUAUAGUGCCAUAACAUGCAUCCAGAUGACAUCCACAUGACUUGCUAAUAAUUAUUGUUGUGGAAAGGAAUUAAUCCGCUAUUCAAUUCAACUAUUCAAUGCUUCUUUCAUUCAGAUACAGGUUCUUUUGCCCGAGGAGAGGAACCCCAACCCGUCAGGUUUGAGGCCACUACCCCGUAUGAUUUUAAAUUUCAAUCCAACCAUUCAAUGCUUCUUUCAUGAAUGUAAUUUAUCUCUUGUGCCACUGCUUUACUAAUUUUUCUGUACUUGUUAAUGUGGCUACUGUGUUCCACUUGCAGAUAGUGCAAAAUACUACCGAGUGUGUAUCACCGAUCCUGGUCAGUUUCUUCAUGAUACUUCAGUUGACUCGGAUGGACAUGAUCAAUACCACGCCCGGGGCCCAUAUGCAAUGGCCGUCUAAUUUUGCAAUGCUGAAUUAAUUUGCAGAGGGUACUUACUUAUUCAUUUGGUUUUUUAGAGCAAAAAAGGGCGACAGACGUUAUUAAGAGUAAAACUUAACAGGUUUUACAUCGUUAUUACAGCUCCAGCUGUUUGUGUUGUGAAACUUUUCCAAGCAAAGCCAGAAGAGGAAAAACUGCAUGCAAAUGAAACAAUUGACAGAAAAAAAAAGAGCAGGAGCAUAUCUCAUUACAGCUCAGGUAUGUAAAGACCAUCUUUAUC
rnacentral:lncRNA from 1 species